UGCAUCACGCUUUUGGUAGUACAGCAACCCUUUUCGCGGCCAAUUCUGCUAAAGCAAACCACGCUUUACUAUUUCUACUUUGUAUCAAAAACAAAUCAAUUUUAACAAUUUAGUACCUUAUCCCUUCCUUUGGUGACACAUUUUUCAAGUCAGUUGAAUUAUAUUUUUGUUUACUAUUUGGUAAAUAAGAUUUCAGCAUACAUUUGUUCACUAUAAUUUUUGUUCUACAAUUUAGGGAUACCGAAGAUUUUUAAUUCGAAAGCAACUAUCAAAAUUUACUGAUAUUCAAUCAAUUUAAGCAAUGUGUUACAAAUAUUAAUCAAAGUCUACUCAAAUGCUAAGAUUGAUAGUUUAG
rnacentral:lncRNA from 1 species